rnacentral:rRNA from 1 species
UGGGAAUCUUCCGCAAUGGACGAAAGUCUGACGGAGCAACGCCGCGUGUAUGACGAAGGCCUUCGGGUUGUAAAGUACUGUCUUUGGGGACGAACGGUAUCUAUGUAAAUAAUGCAGAUACAUGACGGUACCCAAGGAGGAAGCCCCGGCUAACUACGUGCCAGCAGCCGCGGUAAUACGUAGGGGGCGAGCGUUGUCCGGAAUCAUUGGGCGUAAAGGGCGCGUAGGCGGGUCAUUAAGUCUGGUGUGAAAGGCAGGGGCUCAACCCCUGGAAGGCACCGGAAACUGGUUAUCUUGAGGACAGGAGAGGAAAGCGGAAUUCCACGUGUAGCGGUGAAAUGCGUAGAUAUGUGGAGGAACACCAGUGGCGAAGGCGGCUUUCUGGACAUGUAACUGACGCUGAGGCGCGAAAGCGUGGGGAGCAAACAGGAUUAGAUACCCUGGUAGUCCACGCCGUAAAC